CCUACGGGUGGCUGCAGUGGGGAAUAUUGGACAAUGGGCGAAAGCCUGAUCCAGCCAUGCCGCGUGUGUGAAGAAGGCCUUCGGGUUGUAAAGCACUUUCAGUGGGGAAGAAAGCCUUGGGGCUAAUACCCUCGAGGAAGGACAUCACCCACAGAAGAAGCACCGGCUAACUCCGUGCCAGCAGCCGCGGUAAUACGGAGGGUGCGAGCGUUAAUCGGAAUUACUGGGCGUAAAGCGCGCGUAGGCGGUCUGAUAAGCCGGUUGUGAAAGCCCCGGGCUCAACCUGGGAACGGCAUCCGGAACUGUCAGGCUAGAGUGCAGGAGAGGAAGGUAGAAUUCCCGGUGUAGCAGUGAAAUGCGUAGAGAUCGGGAGGAAUACCAGUGGCGAAGGCGGCCUUCUGGACUGACACUGACGCUGAGGUGCGAAAGCGUGGGUAGCAAACAGGAUUUGAUACCCUUGUAGUC
rnacentral:rRNA from 1 species